GACGAACGCUGGCGGCGUGCUUAACACAUGCAAGUCGAACGGAAAGGCCCUGCUUUUGUGGGGUGCUCGAGUGGCGAACGGGUGAGUAACACGUGAGUAACCUGCCCUUGACUUUGGGAUAACUUCAGGAAACUGGGGCUAAUACCGGAUAGGAGCUCCUGCUGCAUGGUGGGGGUUGGAAAGUUUCGGCGGUUGGGGAUGGACUCGCGGCUUAUCAGCUUGUUGGUGGGGUAGUGGCUUACCAAGGCUUUGACGGGUAGCCGGCCUGAGAGGGUGACCGGCCACAUUGGGACUGGGAUACGGCCCAGACUCCUACGGGGGGAAGCAGUGGGGAAUAUUGCACAAUGGGCGGAGGCCUGAUGCAGCAACGCCGCGUGCGGGAUGACGGCCUUCGGGUUGUAAACCGCUUUCGCCUGUGACGAGGCGUGAGUGACGGUAAUGGUAAAGAAGCACCGGCUAACUACGUG
rnacentral:rRNA from 1 species